UUUCGGGUUCGGGUUAAAAAAUGUCAAAACCCCUCUCUGGACCCUCGAGAAAUCCUGUGAUCGGUUCAGCUUCGGGAGCUUCUUGGAGCAUUUGUUUGAGGAAUGAGUAGGCUGAAGGGUGUUCACUGUUUCCUUGGGUUAAUAACUUAAUAUCUCGGAGAGGCUAUCCUCAGGUUACUUCUUUAUCAACUGCAUAUGAAACCUCAACCUUAUCCAAUAAAUUCCUUGUUAGAGCUCUUUCGGCUUCAGCCGAUGGCAGCACGAACACUUGUUCAGUUGUUGCUUCAGGUGAAGUGAAAGGGGCUAGUGAACCAAAUUUGUCCGAUCCAACUAAAAAGGCUGUACGAGGUGGGAUUUAUUCUAAAUUCCAGAUCAUUGGAGGUUGCCUUCUCAAGAAGACCCGCAAGAGGCCUCCACAAGGCUACCAAGACGACUUAAAUUAUUGUUUGAGGUCAAUUUUCCUCCAACCGCUGGAGAAUUGAUAGAGAAUCGAUAAACCUGCUUAACAACUUUGGACUUAUUUCCUGUCUCGUGGUUGAGCCUUUUGUUGCUUAUUGCCACCGGAAGUGGGAUAACUGUAUACUAUGACAAAGAGAAGAAACGGCACAUAGAAGGUGAAUUAUUAUGCCUCUUCUAGAGACUUCUUUAUUUUCUGAUUUUAAAUUCAGUUUGGUUUCCCCAAUUAAUCUCUAUUAUCUUUUACCGCAAACAUUUUCUUUUUGAUAAAGCUAUUAGUGGUGAUAUAUUAAGGAAAUUUUCCUGUUCUUUGUAUGCAUUUAUCUGUUUUGAUCUGUUAGGUCAUUCUUGCAUUUUUAUCAUCAGUAUAUCCUGAGAAGCACCAACACUAACAGCAGGACAUUGAUGCAACUUGCCAUAAAUAUGCAAAGAUGGAAAUAUGCAAAGAUGCAAAGAAGGAAAUUUUUACUCGAAUUAGUUUGCUGGUAUGGGAACCAUCAUAAUAGCUGCAUUGUCGAUGAUAAGUUGGCAAGUUUAUUAGCCAACCCUCGACACAGGUUUCAGCUUUGUCAGCCUGUGGUACAAGAAGCUAACAGUAAUGUAUACAUUCCGAUGGUUAUGUCUAAUUUGGUAGAUAUCAUCUUUCAGGUACUUGAUGGAUCCGAACAUGAAGUUCGCUAAAUUUUUUGGUGAAAACCAUGAUGUUGAUUCACUGGCUGAGGGCAUAAUCAAAGAAAUAUCAGAGCACAAAAAGCAAAAGAAAUGAUAGUUAGCUGGGCUUGUUCCUUUGAUCUCCGUUUUGAAACAUCAUUGUUCUUGUAAAACAUUUGUACUGUUUUCUUGAACGAUGUGCGGCAUAAAUUUUUGAUAUUGCUGAGGAAUCAUAAUGCCAAGAUAGUUUUGACACAUAACUGGCAAGUGAAAGGAUAUUAUUAACAGUCCAUAAGAAUAUAGAAUUUUGCCAACAUGUAUUGUUGCAAGGAUUGAGUUCAUUAUUUUCAGAACAUCAAUUUUGCAGUAUUUGGGGCUAUAUAGGUACA